rnacentral:rRNA from 1 species
UACAGAGGUCUCGAGCGUUAGGCGGAAUAACUGGGCUUAAAGCGUGUGUAGGUGGAUCGUUAAGUACCUUGUGAAAUCCCACGGCUUAACCGUGGAACUGCUUGGUAUACUGCUUAUCUUGGGCCACUUAGGGGCUACCGGAACAAACGGUGGAGCGGUGAAAUGCGUAGAUAUCGUUUGGAACGCCAAUGGUGAAAACAGGUAGCUGGGAGUGUGCCGACGCUGAGACACGAAAGCCAGGGGAGCGAACGGG